CGAUACUGUCUUGUCUUAACUUAAACUAGUUGGCUGCAACAUUCAACCACUUUGCUGUACGGAAUCAUAAUAUUAAGUGCUCUGUUUAAAAUAGGGAUAAUGGCACGAAAGACCCUAUACUUAAGUGUUUGUUCUAGUGUAAUACCUAUAUUUUCAAAAUGUCCAAUUUAAUUUUUGUACUUAAGUGUUUGUUCUAGUGUAAUACCUAUAUUUUCAAAAUGUCCAAUUUAAUUUUUGUACUUUGCUUCUUCUUUUUUUAAUUAUUUUGCUCCAUUCUUCUAACACUGUUUGCUUUUACUGACAUGUCGUGUAGGCUAAUAAGGGGCCGCCUAACUUUUGAUCGGCUAUGUGAGGCCCCUUUUAGCAAUUCGCCCUUUUUCUCUUCUAGAAAAGAUAAAACGUGAG
rnacentral:lncRNA from 1 species